rnacentral:rRNA from 1 species
UACGUAGGGUGCAAGCGUUGUCCGGAAUUAUUGGGCGUAAAGAGCUCGUAGGCGGUCUGUUGCGUCGGCUGUGAAAACCCGGGGCUCAACUCCGGGCCUGCAGCCGAUACGGGCAGACUAGAGUUCGGCAGGGGAGACUGGAAUUCCUGGUGUAGUGGUGAAAUGCGUAGAGAUCGGGAGGAACACCAGCGGCGAAGGCGGCCCCCUGGGCCGCUCCUGACGCUGAAGCGCGAAAGCUAGGAGAGCAAACAGG